GCUGAGAGUGGACAUUCUCCAUCACUCCAAAUGCCCUGCGAGCCCAGGGUCCGACUCUCUGGGACGGCGAGGGUGUCUAGAACUGUCUUCUCCGCCUCCUUCCUUUCCUCCGACAGAACCCAAAACAUCCGUAGAAAAGGUGGAUUUCCGAUCUGGCUCAGGAUCCAUUGCCUUCUGGGUCCCAGGCACAAGAGGGCAAGGAUGUGAGAAGUCGGAGAUGGCCAGGACAGAACCAUGAAGCCAUCACAAAACUUGUGGACGGCCGGGCAGCGGUGGUGGCGCACGCCUUUAAUCCCAGCACUCGGGAGGCAGAGGACAGGGUCCAUCAUCGCGUCAUUGAGGGAAGGCUGGAAGUGACGAAGAGACCUCAGAAGAAUGCGGAGUACUGGCUUACACCCUGGGCUUGCUCAGUCUUCUAUAACCAAAGACCACCAGCCGGGGUGGCCCCGCCCACAACGGGCGGGGCCCUCACAUGUCAAUCUUUAAUCAAGACAAUGCCCUGCAGACCCGCCUACAAGCCCACCUGACAGAGGCAACUCCUCAGUUAAGUCCCUUCCUCCCACCUGGCUCUAGUUCACGUCAAGUUGACAAAAUCCAGGCUAGCAGGGCCGGCAGGGGGUUCCCUGAGGUUUCGGGGUACCCAGGACUCUCUGCUUUCAAGGUACCUCUCCUUUCUCACUGUAUCAGAAUGACUCAGACCAAAGUGGCCCAGACCCAGAACAUUCCAGGACCGAGCAGUGGGUGACCCGUGGGUGAAGAACUGAACAGGACGAAAAGUCACCAGACAUCUGAGGAAGAGAAUGUCAACAGACUGGGCGACAUGUGCCACCUCCAGGAGGAGUCAGAGCAGGCAGACCCAGCGUCAAAUAGGGACAGCAGAGAUACUUAGUGAAACGAGGGGGGAGGGAACAUACAUAAGAGCCAAAAUCAAAAAGAACUAGACAUGCACGUGAAAUACAUAAGCUAGGACAUUGAAAAAAUAAUGAAAA